rnacentral:rRNA from 1 species
AUUGAACGCUGGCGGCAGGCCUAACACAUGCAAGUCGAGCGGAUGAAGGGAGCUUGCUCCUGGAUUCAGCGGCGGACGGGUGAGUAAUGCCUAGGAAUCUGCCUGGUGGUGGGGGAUAACGUCCGGAAACGGGCGCUAAUACCGCAUACGUCCUGAGGGAGAAAGUGGGGGAUCUUCGGACCUCACGCUAUCAGAUGAGCCUAGGUCGGAUUAGCUAGUUGGUGGGGUAAAGGCCUACCCAGGCGACGAUCCGUAACUGGUCUGAGAGGAUGAUCAGUCACACUGGAACUGAGACACGGUCCAGACUCCUACGGGAGGCAGCAGUGGGGAAUAUUGGACAAUGGGCGAAAGCCUGAUCCAGCCAUGCCGCGUGUGUGAAGAAGGUCUUCGGAUUGUAAAGCACUUUAAGUUGGGAGGAAGGGCAGUAAGUUAAUACCUUGCUGUUUUGACGUUACCAACAGAAUAAGCACCGGCUAACUUCGUG